GUGACCCUGUUAGAACUAAUGGGGUGAUCUACCAGGCUCAAAGAAUGUGGUUCACUUUGAUCACUUCCCGUACUUCUGGCAGCAACCCCAGGUCAUGUGCUCCUGUCAGCCCCAUUCUGUGGCUGGGAGUAAAGAAGCUGUGAGGUGUUCUAGAACCUGUCCAGUGAAGUGUGGCUGUUGAGUGUGGGAUGAGCGUGCCAUUCCUGCCGGGGACUCCAGGCCUGGCCAAGCCAGAACAGCUCCGGCCUCUAGGUGUGGCUCCAGGACAAUCAACCCUAGGGGAGAGCAGCUGAGGCCACACUCGUCAAAGUUGCAGAGGAAGUUUCUCUGGCAGUCAGCCUGCUCCCUCUACUUGUCUCUGUUGGUGGAGACCGAACACAAAGUGCAGUGACUCAGAAGCCUUUGAGAGGGUGACUGGGGGCCUGGCCACCGCAAGGCACAGAGGCAGUGAGAUGGAUCGACCCAAAACGACAGUGUGCUGGGGAAAGAAGAAAUCAAGGCAGAAGGAAGAAGAAAAUGAACUCCAAGAAAUUCUGCCCAGUGAGCCUCAACAGCCCAAAGACCGUUUUUCAAAAUUCAGUGGGUGGCUUAUGAAAGUCCCCAGGAAAAGAAAACCAGACACUGCUAUUCAUCAGAAAGAAACUCCCAAAGACUUCCAAAAGUUGGUACAGAAGGGGCAGUUCCUGGAAGCCUGCCAGAGCAUCUCGGAGUUGUCACAGGAAGGGCAGGACUGUGGUCUCCAGUACAAGGUUGUGGCUGAGAGCAUGUGGCAGGUCAUCAAGGAGGCUCUGGGAGGCAUUGGGUACAGCCAGAAGCUGGAGCUAAAGCUCCAGGCAGUGGUGGCCACUGUGGAGUGGGUGGAGGACAACCCCCAGAGCUGGGAGGCCAGCGCCCUCGAGGAUGGUGGAGUUGCUUUCUGGGGAAGUCAUCUGGAGAGGCUCCUGAGAACAGAUGCUGAGGACCAAUUGCCCACUAUGAAGCCAAGCACCCAGCUGCGCCCGUACCUGAAGGAGCUGGACAAAGCUGUGGGACACAGCCUAGGGUCCCAGAGGGCAGGCCGGAUGGGGGACCCCCUCUGGGAAAUCUACAGGACGUGUUUCCAGGAGGUCCUCCUCAGCCGCCUCUCCGAGCUCCCUUCCUCCUACAGUCACGACAGGGAAGCCUACUUUGAGCUGUACAACUGGGGCAAGACGACCUUGUUUGGGCAGCUGGGCAGGGAGAUGCUUCAGAGAGUAGGUCCCACCUCCCAGAAGUCCAUGGCCGGGAACCUCUUGGACUCAAUGAUGUUCAUUACCUGGAUGUUCCAAAUGCAGGAGAAGCUGGUGGGGCUGAUCCAGGAGGAGUUGAAAAAGUGUCUAGAAAAUGUUCUGAUCUGUGAUCAGAAAAAGUGGACCGAGUCUGCCUCCUCAGUGUUCCUUGAAAUCUACCAGCUACUGAAAGAAGCUGUAGAUGCAGUCCGACACAUUGGGCCAUCCGUCACCAGACGGGUUCAAGCCAUGGUUCUGGAAACAUUUUCAAAGUUUCUGGAAAGCUACAAGGAUAAGGCUGAAGUCUUCAUCCAGCAGAACACCAGUGACCACACCUUUCCCGAGCUGCAUGUGCUGGAAAACUGCUGCAUCCUCAGGAAGACAUGGUGGUGGCUGAGCAGGGCGCACGUUCCCUGGGCACGCUUGGACCCAGCUGUGCAAGGUGCCAUCAAAGUCAUUGAGGACCAUGGCCGGGACCACCUCCUGCCUCGAGUCAGAGCCCUGUGCCAGAGUCUGCUGAGUUGUCACUUCGGAGAGAAGAACAAGGAUCUGGUCCAAUCUCUGCGGUCCCUGUGGCAGAGCCUGGAGCACUGCCCCAACAUGCACCCUACUCCCACAUACGAGAGCCUUGUGAGGAGUCUGAAUAUGGUGGUCUUUGGGGAGUACGUCCAGGCCCUGGCUGCUUAUCUCAGGAGGCUGGUGCCCAGGACUUCGGGGCACCUCCGUGCUCAGGUGGAAACGGACAUCUGGAAGCUGGGCACCACCUUUAGGGAGCACAGGGGCCCAGCUUUGGACGAUCUACAGGAGUACAUCCUCCAGCUCAGUGAGAGCAGAGACAGACAGACUGUGGAUCAGUGGCUGGCCUCCUUCAGUGACAGUUUCCCUGGUUAUCUGAGCAGACAGGGCAGAUCCACGGCUGUGGAGGAGGAGACUGCGAUCAGGGGACGCUCCUCAUUCUGCUGCAGACUUCUCCAGAACUUAAGACACGGUACUUGAAAAUAUGCUGCUCAGACUGAUGUCAAAGAGUGUACUGCUGAUGUUUUCUUCUAGAAGUUUCAUGGUUUCAGGUCUUACAUUCAGAGCAUGGAGACUGACAUCAGCAUCAUGGUGGAGUGUGCUUGCCUGGUGAACUCUCCCUUCCAGGAUACAACAAAAAGGACAUUCAUAUUCCAACAUAGGACAUCCACACAACACAAAAGAUGUCUGAGAGACCCAUGCAGCCAUACAUCAGAAAGUGGAGGUGCUGGAGCCCUCCCUUGGAGGAGGUGGAAAGAGUGGCCCAGCAUUUCACCAGUUUGGAUCCUGAGCAUGGACCCAGCACCACUCAUCAAGCCAUGCUGAGGCAGUGUCCCAAAUGCCACAACUAGAAGGACCCAAAACUAAAAUAUACAACUAUGUACAGGGAGGCUUUGGGAGAAGAAGGAAAAAUAAAAUCUUAAAAAAUAUAUAUAUUAAAUAUCCAUACCAGAAGGAAAAUGACAAGUACCCAGAAAUCAAUCCUGAAGACACAGAAAUAUAUAAUCUAAUGACAGAAUUCCAAAUUGCUACCAUCAGAAAACUCAACAAGUUAAAAGAGAAUGUACAGAAACAAUGCAAUGAGUUCAGGAGCUACUUCACAAGAGAGAUUGAAACUAUAAAGAAGAACCAAUCAGAAAUAUUGGAGGUGAAAGACACAAUCAAUGAGAUAGAACAAAACAUGGAUUUCCUGAAUGCUAGAGCAGACAUCGUAGAAGAGCAUAUCAGCAUAAUCGAGGAUAGACAAGUUGAAAUGCUCCAGACAGAGGAGGAGAGAGAACUAAGACUAAAAAGAAAUGAAGAAAGUCUCUGAGAAAUAUCUGACCCAAUUAGGAAAUGAAAUAUAAUAAUUAUAGGUAUUCAAGAGGGAGAAGAGAAGGAGAAUGGAGCAGAAAGCUUGUUCAAAGAGAUAAUAGCAGAGAACUUCCCAAACCUGGGGAAGGAGAUGGAAAUCCAAGUGAAAUAGUCUAUCAGAUCUCCUAAAUAUGUCAGUGUAAAAAGACCUACUGCAACGCAUAUAGUAGUGAAACUGGCAAAAGUGAAUGACAAAGAAAAAGUACUAAGGGCAGCAAGGCAGAAGAAAAUAACUUACAAAGAAACCCCUAUCAGGCUUUCAGUAGAUUUCUCAACAGGAAACUUACAGGCUAGGAGAGACUCGAAUAAUAUAUGCAAAUCUUUGAAGGACAAACACUUUCAGCUAAGAAUACUCUAUCCAGCAGAAAUAUCCUUCAGAUUUGAUGGAGAAAUAAAAACCUUCCCACAUAAACAAAAGCUAAGGGAGUUUGUAGCCACACGACUCCCCCCCACCCCCACACACAAAAAAUCCUCAAGAAGGCCAUCAUACUUGAAAAAAAAAGGAAGAAAGGGGUUACAAAGCAUAGAUUAAGGAGAUACAUAGGUAGAAAAAAAUCAGAAAAUUGUAGCUAUACAUCAGAAGAGGUUAGUAAAUACUCAAGUAUAACAUUAAAGAUAAAGGGAAGUAAAACACCAAAAACAAAGAUAAUCUUGUCAUUUUAACCACACACUCACAAGACAAGGUGGAAUAAGAUGUGACAAAAAUAACAUAGGAGUGGAAGAGGAAGUGGACUGAAUCGGUUUAGUCAAAGGAAAUAAGAGGCCAUCAGAAAAUGGACUAUCUUAUCUACGAGAUUUUGAAUACAAACCUCAUGGUAACCACUAAACAAAAAAGCAGAGCAGAGACACAAAUAAUGAAUAAGGAGAAAACUAAGAAACACAACAUAAAAAACUACAUAACCCAACUGGUAGACCAAAAGACAAGGCAUAACAAACAAAGGAAAUGCAGGAGAACCAGAAAACGAGUGACAAAAUGGCAGCAUUAAGCCCUCAUAUAUCAAUAAUCACCCUAAAUGUAAAUCGAUUGAGUUCUCUAAUAAAAAGAGACAAAGUGGCGAGAUGGAUUAAAGAACAAGACCGAGCACUAUGCUGCCUCCAGGAAACACAUCUCUGUUCCAAUGACAAACACAGGCUCAGAGUGAAGGGAUGGAAGAUGAUACUCCAAGCUAAUGGCAAACUACAGAAAGUAGGUGUCACGAUACUUAUAUCAGACAAAGUAGACUUCAAGAUAAGACAGGUAAAGAGAGACAAAGGGGACAGUGUGUACCGAUCAAAGGGACAUUCCAUCAAGAAGAAAUAACACUUAUAAAUAUCUAUGCACCCAACACAGGAGCACCAAAGUUCAUAAAGCAACUAUUAACAAACCUAAAGGAGAUAUUAAUGAUAACACAAUAAUAGUAGGGGACCUCAAUACUCCACUCACAGCAAUGGAUAGAUCAUCCAGACAGAAAAUCAACAAGGAAACAGUGGAGUUAAAUGAAAAGCUAGACCAGCUGGACUUAACAGAUAUAUAUAGAACACUCCAUCCAAAAAUGGCAGAAUACACAUUCUUCUCAAGUGCACACGGAACAUUCUCAAGGACAGACCAUAUGUUGGGAAACUAGGCAAGCCUCAAUAAAUUUAAGAAAAUUGAAAUAAUAACAAGCAUCUUUUCUGAACACAGUGCCAUGAAGCUAGAAAUUAAUUACAAGAAAAAAGCUGAGAAAGGGACAAAGAUGUGGAGACUAAACAACAUGAUAUUGAACAAGCAAUGGAUCAUUGAAGAAAGUAAAGGAGAAAUAAAAAAAUAUCUGGAGACAAAUGGAAAUGAAAACACACCAUACCAACUCAUAUGGGAUACAGCAAAAGUGGUCCUAAGAUGGAAAUCCAUCGCAAUACAGGCUCACCUUAACAAACAAGAAAAAUCUCAAAUAAGCAAUCUCAAACUACACCUAACUGAAUUAGAAAAAGGAGAACAAACAAAGCCCAAGGUCAGCAGAAGGAGAGAAAUAAUAAAAAUCAGAGCAGAAAUAAAUGCAAUUGAAACAAAAAAGGCAGUAGAAAGGAUCAAUGAAAAAAAGAGCCAGUUCUUCGAGAAGAUAAAUAAAACUGGCAAACCCCUAGCCAGACAUACACAGAAAAAAAGAGAGAAAGCUCAGAUAAAUAAAAUUAGAAAUGAAAGAAGAGAACUAACAACAGAUACCACAGAAAUACAACGAUUAUAAGAGAAUACUAUGAAAAUCUAUAUAACAACAAAAUAGACAAUCUAGAAGAAAUGGAUAGAUUCUUAGACUCUUACAACCUCCCAAAGCUGAAUCAAGAAGAAAUAGAUAAUCUGAAUAGACCAAUCACAAGUAAAGAGAUGGAAACAACAAUCAAAAGCAUCCCCCCAAAUAAAAGCCCAGGACCAGAUGGCUUCCCUGGAGAAUUCUACCAAACUUUCAGAGAGGAUUUAAUACCUAUCCUUCUCAAGCUAUUCCAAAAAAUUAGGGAAGAUGGAACACUUCCUAACACAUUCUACAAGGCCAACAUCACUCUGAUACCAAAGCCUGACAAGGACAACACACAAAAGGAAAACUACAGGCCAAUAUCACUGAUGAACAUACAUGCAAAAAUCCUCAACAAAAUACUGGCAACCUGAAUACAGCAAUACAUCAAAAAGAUCAUACAUCACAAUCAAGUGGGAUUUAUACCAGGGACACAGGGAUGGUUCAACAUCCCCAAAUCAAUCAAUGUGAUCCACCACAUUAGCAAAAUGUGGAAUAAAAACCAUAUGAUCAUGUCAAUAGAUGCAGAGAGAGCAUUUGAUCCAACAGCCAUUUAUGAUAAAAAUUCUUAACAAAAUGGGGAUAGAAGGAAGUUACGUCAACAAAAUAAAGGCCAUAUAUGACAAACCCACAGCCAACAUCAUAUUCAAUGGGGAAAAAUUGAACCCCAUCCCUCUGAGAACAGGAACAAGUCAAGGGUGCCCACUCUCACCACUCUUAUUCAACAUAGUACUAGAGGUUUUGGCCAGAGCAAUUAGGCAAGGGAAAGGAAUAAAAGGAAUCUAAGUAGGGAGUGAAGAAUUGAAACUCUUGUUGUUUGCAGACAUGAUCUCAUAUAUAGAAAACCCUAAAGAAUCCAUUGGAAAACUAUUAGAAAUAAUUAACAACUACAGUAAAUUUUCAGGGUACAAAAUCAACUUACAAAAAUCAGUUACUUUUCUAUACUCUAAUAACAAACUUACAGAAAGAAAACUCAAGAAUACAACUCCAUUUACAAUCACAACAAAAAGAAUAAAGCAUCUGGGAGUAAGUUUAACCAAGGAGGUGAAGGACAUAUACAAUGAAAAGUAGAGGACAUUAUUGAAAGGAACAGAUAACCAUGUAAAGACAUGGAAAGAGAUUCCAUGCACAUGGAUUGCAAGAACAAACAUAGUUAAAAUAUCCAUACUACCCAAAGCAAUCUACAGAUUCAAUGCAAUCCCAAUCAGAAUCCCAAUGACAUUCUUCAUGGAUAUAGAAUCCUAAAAUUCAUACGGGGCAACAAAAGACCCUGAAUUGCUAAAGCAAUCGUGAGAAAAAGAACAGAGCUGGAGGCAUCACAAUCCCUGACUUCAAAAUGUACUAUAGGGGCUGGCCCUGUGGCCGCGUGGUUAAAGUUUGCGCGCUCCGCUGCAGGUGGCCCAGUGUUUUGUUGGUUCGAAUCCUGGGUGCAGACAUGGCACUGCUCAUCAAACCAAGCUGAGGCAGCGUCCCACAUGCCACAACUAGAAGGACCCACAACAAAGAAUAUACAACUAUGUACCAGGGGGCUUUGGGGGAAAAAAAAUAAAAAAUAAAAUCUUAAAAAAAAAUGUACUACAAAGCCAUAGUAAUCAAAACGGCACGGUACUGGUACAAAAAAAGACACACAGAUCAAUGGAACAGAACUCAAAGCCGAAAAAUAAAACCACACAUCUAUGGACAGCUAAUCUUCAACAAAGGUGCCAAGAACAUACAAUGGAAAAAAGAUAGUCUCUUUAAUAAAUGGUGCUGGGAAAACUGGACGGCCACAUGCAAGAGAAUGAAAGUAGAUCAUUAUCUCAUGCUAUACACAAAAAUAAACUCAAAAUGGAUCAAAGACUUAAAGAUAAGUCCUGAAACCAUAAAACUCCUGGAAGAUAAUAUAGGUAGUACACUCUUUGACAUUGAACUCAAAAGGAUCUUUUUGAAUACCAUGUCUUCUCAGACAAGGGAAACAAAAGGAAAAAUAAACAAGUGGAACUUCAUCAGACUAAAGAGCUUCUGCAAAGGACAAGAAACUAGGAUCAAAACAGAAAGACAAUCCACCAACUGGGAGAAAAUAUUUACAAAUCAUGUAACUGACAAGGGGUCAAUCUCCAUAAUAUAUAAGGAACUCACACAACUGAAUAACAAAAAAAACAAACAGUCCAAUCAAAAAAUGGGCAGAGAUGAACAGACAUUUUUCCAAAGAAGAUAUACAGACGGCCAAUAAACACAUGAAAAGAUGUUCAACAUCACUGAUCAUCAGGGAAAUGCAAAUCAAAACUACACUAAGAUAGCACCUUACACCUGUUAAGAAGGCUAUAAUCAGUAAGACUAAAAAUAACAAAUGUUGGAGAGAAGGGAACCCUCAUACACUGCUGGUGGGAAUGCAAACUGGUGCAGCCACUAUGGAAAACAGUAUGGAGAUUCCUCAAAAAACUAAAAAUAGAAAUAUCCUAUGACCCAGCUAUCCCACUACUGGGUAUCUACCCAAAUAACUUGAAGUCAACAAUCCAAAGUGACAUAUGCACCCCUAUGUCCAUUGCAGCACUAUUCACAAUAGACAUGGAAACAACCCAAGUGCCCAUCGACUGAUGAUUGGAUAAAGAAGAUGUGGUGUAUAUACAAUGGAAUACCGCUCAGCCAUAGAAAAGACAAAAUCAUCCUAUUUGCAACAACGUGGAUGGACGUGGAGGGUAUUGUGCUAAGCGAAAUAAGCCAGACUGAGAAAGACAAACAUGAGAUGAUUUCACUCACAUGUGGAAUAUAAACAAACACAUGGACAAAGAAAACAAUUCAGUGGUUACCAGGGAAGGGGGGUGAGGAGUGGGCACAGCUGGUGAGAGGGAGCACUCAUGUGGUGACAGACAAUAAAUAACGUGCAGCUGAAAUUUCACAAUGAUGUAAACUAUUAUGAACUCAAUAAAAAACAAAAGAUAAAAAUUAAAUAAAGGGAGAGACUAACUGUCCUCAAGCCUGGGUUGAAGGUGACAGAAGGUGAGGGGACCCACCUGAGGCGUUCAGUAAGCCAAAAGAUCUAAGGAAAGUGAUCAUAGUGUCUUGAUCUCCAAUUCCUACAGGAAAGCCUGAAAAAAGCAAAAUAGUGUUAAAAUUAACCAAGUUGGCUCAGUGUUGAUGGCUCAGUAUAUAUAAGAUGUUAAAGGCUUAAGAAUCUCUCACAGCAAUACAAUACAUUAGAUGUUAGAAAACCCCCGCUGACUUUUUGUACCUGUCACAUGACAAGUUAAUCUUUGAGUAAAUGGCCUGCUCUUUACAAAAGAGGGAAGAUAUUUGUUCCUAUGUUCUUGAAUUGUCCUUAGCUUUUCAAAAAUAAAACUUUUAGUUUUUGUAGCUAUUUGCUGUUUCAUCUCUGUCGAGAAUAAAAAGAACCAUUUCUUGGCUUCAGGCCCUCAAGAGUUGUCUUGCACCACUUUCCUCUCACUGCUCUGAUCUUGCCUGUCCCAAAUUCAAGGUAAAAAGAGAUCCAAACAGUGUCCUUACAACAGUCUCUCCCCGGGAUUUCCCAGGUGGCCAGUGGGCUACAUCAAAGAUUUAUUCUCUCCUUGCAGGAGACAAAGGCUGCUGAUGAGUAACUUGAUUUGUUUGGUAUUGUCCAGGUUUAAUUUCAGUUUCACUCAGCACUAUUGGAACUGCCCUGUUUAUCAUGACAGCAACCAGAGAACCUGGCAAAUCAAAUGUCAACAUCCCUUGGUUCUGUAUAUUCAAAUAAAAUAUUGAUAAGAAUGUUUCAGCAAUUGUGUACCUUUCAAUAGAAGGCUACUCAUGUUGCUGUUCAAAGUCAAGUCCAAACUGACUUUUUAAGAAGUAGUUUCCAGGUCUAAAACAGCUGUCAAUGGUGGCGAUCAAACGUAUUUUAUGCGAUAAGCUAAAACGAUCUGGAAGUUCCUCCAAUGUCCGUUCCCGGGAUAGUCAUUGAUUAAAUGCUUAAAUUGAUCCUAUUGUCAAGAAAUAACUCCGUCCUCUUCCUUUCUGACUUUGUGGGUUGUAAUAGGAAUUAAUGACUCUCAGUAAUUGUCAUCAACAGGUAGUUUCUGCUUCUCCCUCACACCUACUGAAAGCCUCUGCUUCAAACUACAGAUGAGAGUUGGAAUCUUCUGGAAGGAAAUACUCAAUGAGCCCCCAAUGAAUAUAGUAAUGUCUUGAACUUUUGAAACUGUAGGGAAUGCCUUGGGAAACAGGCUUCUCAGGAUCAUCUGCCACAAUUGCUUGAACACAAACAGCAGACCGAGCCAUGAUUCCCUGGAUUUUAGUCCAAAAAUAAUAGUAUACUGCUCAAUCAAAAAAGACAUUUAAUUAGCUGAGACCAAAGACCAAGCAAGCUGAUUCAGUUGCAUUUAUUCUCUUAUGAGCUGGUGACUAGCCUUUUUCUUAAUCUUUAAUCCUUGGUUUAACUGGUUAUAUUUGUAGAAAUUGGAAUAAAACAUGUCAAAAAACGGCUUCAUGUUCCAACUGGCUGCAUUUGUCCACUUCAUUGAGGUUAUCCAACUUGUUUGCAUACAGUGCUCAUGGUACUCUCCUACAAUCCUCUUUACUUCUGCAGAACUGGUAGUAAUGUCCCCACUUUCAUUUUGGUACGUUGUCUUUUCUUUUUCUUAGUCUGUCUAGCUAAAUGUUAAUUUUGUUUUUUCAAAGAACCAACUUAUUGUUUCACCGACUAUUUUUUCUCUAUUUUUCUAUUUAUUUCAUCUAUCUUUGUUCUAUAUUUCAUUUCUUCUCCUACCUUUGGGUUUAGUUUUUCCUAGUUCCUUAAGUUGUGAAGUUAGGUUGUCAACUUGAAAUAUUUCUUGUUUUUAAUGUAAACUUUUCUAGCUAUAAAUAUCUCCUUAGCACUGCUUUGUCUGCAUCCCAUAUAUUUUGGCAUUUUGUGUUUUAAUUUUCAAUUGUCUCUAAUUUCUAAUUUUCCUUGCAAUUUCUGCUUUGAUCCAUUGGUUAUUUAAGAGUAUGUUGUUUAAUUUCCACAGUUAUGUGAAUAUUCCAGUUUUCCUGCUGUUGUUGAUCUCUUAUUUCAUCCCAUUGUGGUCAGAGAAGAUACUUUUAUAUAUCUCUCUCUUCAAAUCUAUUGAGACAUUGUGGUCUAAGAUAGAAAAGGUUCCGUGUGCACUUGAAAAGAAUGUUUACGCUGUUAUUGUAAACAGUGUUCUGUAUAUGUCUGUUAAACAUAGUUGGCUCAUUGUGGUGGUAAAUUCUUCUAUUUUGUCUGGUUGUUCUAUCCAUUAUUGGGAGUGGGGUAUCGAAGUCUCCAACUAUGGUACAGCUGUUUCUCCCUUCGAUUCUGUGUUUUGGCUUCACACAGUUUGGUCUGUCACUAGGUAUGAACGUUUAUGUCCGUUAUAUCUUCUUGUUGUAUUGAACCUUUUAAUACAUGACGUCCUUUGCAUCUUGUAACAUUUUUUUACUUUAAGUCUAUUUUGUCUGAUGUUAGUAUAGCCACCCUGCUCUCUUUUGGUUACUAUUUGCAUGGAAUAUCUUUUUCCUACCUUUUUACCUUCCAUCAAUUUGUGUCUUUGGAUCUAAAGCAAGUCUGUUGUAGACAUAAAGUUGAAUCGUGC
rnacentral:lncRNA from 1 species